UAAUGGGUAUCCGGCAGCGGAUCGGGGGAAAAGUCGUGUCGGUAAAACGAUCGAUAAAACGUUAACAAUAAUUUAAAAUUUAAGAAAUUCGACAUCGGGCCACAGGGGCACCCUUUCAACGAACUUUAAAAUAAACAAACCUGUAUUGCACAAACCGGAGUAUUGUAGUAACCAGGGACGCCGUGUACAGGGGGUCUUCGGAGCUGUAGCCCCCCCGUGAGCUUGAUAAAACGAAGCUGAGCC